GUGAGUCAUCGAAUCUUUGAACGCACCUUGCGCUCUUUGGUAUUCCGAAGAGCAUGCCUGUUUGAGUGUCAUUAAAUUCUCAACCUCGUCGCUUUUGCGAUGAUGGCUUGGAUGUGGAGGUUUCUGCAGGCUCAGGUCUGCUCCUCUCAAAUGAAUUAGUGGGUGCCCCGCGCAAACCUAUCUAUUGGUGUGAUAAUUAUCUACGCCGUGGAUUCUAGGAUUGCUGUAAAAAGGUGUUUGCCCUGCUUCUAACCGUCCAUUGACUUGGACAACUUGAACCAUUUGACCUCAAAUCAGGUA
rnacentral:misc_RNA from 1 species